rnacentral:lncRNA from 1 species
AGAUGACAUCUGGGUGGGGACACAGACAAACCAUCUCAGUACUCUUUAACAGGAUCUCUGGGAAACUGAGGGGGUCCCCAGGUACACAAAGCCCCAUAUGGACUCUUCACUGAACUCCCACCAUAGAAUAUACGUGCCCUAGCCUGUUGACCAAGAAAUUUGACAAAUUUGCAUUUCUGAACAAAAAGAGGAGUGUUAAUGCAUAUUUAGUAGCAUACUUCCUGAUUUUGUUUUUAGUCUGAGGCUUAACCUCAAAGAAACAGAAUUAAUAGAAGAAGGAAAUGAUCCUGGGAGAUCCUCAAUGCAGUAAUGAAUUCAACAUUCUUCAAUCAAAUUUAAAAUUUAAUUAUAGCCUACUUACCUGUGGUGACCCUGGAUUCUGUACAACUGAUUUGUUGAUACAGAAGAGAGUCAUGCAAACUACAGAAAUCCACCCAAAACCGAGAGAAGGAGAGUAUCUGUUUUCAGAGGAGCUGUCUGCUUUGGGAGGAAGUUCCAGAAGUGAGCCUCAGGAAUUACAACAUUAAUUGAGAAACUGAAUGAUUAAAAUUGUAGUAACAAAUAGCUUUCCUUGGAACUGUCCCAGAAUCUAUUAUUUUUUUCCCUUUUCUGUCAUUAACAAAAACACCAACAAAAAACAUCAUGUGUGAAAGAGGUACUAUAAUAAAAACCCUAGCAGUGUCUACUGCAUG